AUUACACCAUGGCACUCCAGCCUGGCAACAGAACAAGACUCCAUCUCAAAAAUAAAAGGACCCUGCUGCCUCCUUUGCGUCAAUAUCUUCCCCUUCUAGGAGCCAUCUUUUUAGAUUGAAGUCUCCUGAUCAAUGUAGUAGUUUGUUGUUUAAUAAUAGAACUGCAUCCCCAUUAUCCUCAUCCCCUAGACUCCCUAGGACCAUUAUGGUCUCUUGCUUUCUGGCAAGAGACCUGCCCUAUUGCUUGGGUGGCGGGUUAGGGGGUGGUGCUCAGGGUCUGCCUAUCACUCCCCCUCCCUUAAGCUAUGGGUAUCCCUAUGGAGAUCAAGGUAUCCAUAGCCUGGGGAGAUGCCUCUUGGGCAGCAGGUCUUGAGCUCCCCCUGUGGGAAAAGCAGAUUCCCAGGCUGAUCAAGAAGGGCCCCUCUACAAAUCAAUGCAGAUGAUACGGGGAACAAUGCCUGCAGAUGAGUUCUUUCCUAAGCUUCCCAGGUUUUAGUUUGGAAACUAUUGUCUGGGUCCAGGUGGGAGCCAUCUCCUUCCCUCCUCUGGCUAUGCCCUGGAUCCCCCCUCUUCUGCCUCCCUCCAUUUUUGCUCUUCUCAUUUUAUAACGUGUGCUCUGGAAAAAUGCUAUGCUUGUCUCAUCCACACUGCAGUGUAAAUAUCUUCAUUCAAGGAGUGUUUAUUGAACUUGUCUUCCACACCCUGGCUAAAUCCUAGGGACACAGAUGCUCUAGAAUGUAAGAACCAUGCAGUACAGUUCUCCUUGGACUGACCUAGUUCUUCCUCCUUUCUCACUUGUAGUUCUCAAGAAUAACUGGUGCAUGCUGGAAGCAUAACAUCCUGAGACAAGGAAGAACUGGCCAGAAUAUCCUGGGCUCCAAUCUUGUCCCUCCUAGAACAAGAUGUCCUUCAAUACUUUAGCCCAGUGUAUCAUGUUGUCCCCAGGGUAUAAAACCCAGGUGGACUGCUUUCCUGGCCCUUCAGCUGUGGGGCAAGUGAGGCACAUGAAGACAAGAUUCCAUCCACUCAGGGCAGCUUUUCUAAGCCUUGGAACUGACUUGCUAUGAAUUCUAGGCUUUCACUCUUUCUUGCUGUGUGUGAGUAAAAACGUUGCUUCACUUAACUUGCAGUGAGUGUUCUAUCUCACUGGACUCAAGCAAGUAGUAGAAAUUGCAGCCCAAGAUGCAGUGGGCUAAAUGAUGCAGUGGGCUCACCUGUGCAUCGUGAGCCUGCUCCGCAGCCCACACAGGCAGAGAUAUUCAUCUGUUUUGUUCCCUGGUGACUCCUAAGGGCCUAAAUCAGUGCCAGCCAUAUAGAAGGUGAUCUAUAAGUAUCUGUUAAAUGAAAAGACAGAAAAGAACUAUGGGACACAGAAAAACAAAGAGCUUAACAUCACGAGGGAGCCACAACUAUCUGGGCUGGUGGCAUGGGGGUAACACGAUUUAGCCAGACAGUUGUAGAUAAAGAAAGUCAGAUUUCUUAGACAAAGUAGGAACAUGCUUUGUAGCGAUGAGGCAAGGGCAGACUCAGCAGAAGAGGAGUGGCUUGCCAGCAAACAAAGGCUUGCUGGGGAUUUUGUAGAAGAGUGUUUAUGCUGUGUGCUGAAGAGGGCUUUGUGCAGCGUUGAGGAGGCCAAGGCUGCAGUGGGAGAACUUGCAGGUCUCUGGUGGCAAGUUGGGUGCAGGAGGGCUGCAUGUCCUGGACCAGGAAGAAAGACAGACUUGCAGUUUAUCUGCUUUCCCUUUCCUGCUUUCUCCUGCUCCCACCAGCCUGACCUCAGGAAAAGCCUUUGUUUGCUGGCAGUCCACUCCUCUUCUGCUGAUUCUGCCCAUUGCCUCAUCACAAGAAAGUCUUUUCCUACUUUCUCUAGUAAAUCUGCCUUUCUUUAUCUACAACUGUCUUGGUACAUUUUUUUUUUACCCCCACGCCACCAGCCCAGACAGUUGUCGUGCUUGAGACAGUGAACUGUUUGUAUAUCUGUAUCCCAUAGUUCUUUUACUAAUUAGGACUUUUUCCUAAUUAGGACUCCACACUAACUGCCGCACUGUGGCAAAUACACAGAUGUUGUAAGGAUUGGGGAUGACAGAAUUCCGGCUGCCUAGUAGGCACUUGUUAGAAAGGGCUUCACGAGCAGGAGAUGAUUAAGUUGAAUCUUAACAAAUGAGUCGGAGUGGAGCUGGGCACAGUGCCAUGCACCUGCAGUCCCAGGUACUUGAGAGGCUGGGAUGGGAGGAUAACUUGAGCCCAGGAGUUUGAAUCCAGCCUUGGCAACAUAGUGAGACCCUGUCUCUUAAAAUAGUGAGUCAGAAUGACUUGUGAGAAGUCUGAAGUGAAGGGGAAGAGCAUUCCUAGGCCCACUAGUGAGCAAUUGAUAGGCUUUGGAAGCUAAGGAAGAGGGAGGGGUCAAAAUUGACUUCCAGAUUUUUGAUUUAGGCAAUUGAGUUGAUGUUGGUUCCAUUCACUGAACCAAUACGAACUUAGGCUUCUUUCAACAAAGGACAUGUUUGUUUUCCUCAAUUCUGAAAGGUGAGUAGGCGUUAGACAGAUGGGGGUAGAGUAGGCAUAUGAGAAUGUUCUAGGCCAGGGGUUGGGAAAGUUUUUCUACAAUGGACCAGAUAGCAAAUCUUUUCAAUCUGUGGACCUGUGAUCUCUGUGACUGUUAUAGUACCAAGCAACUAUAGAUAACAUAGACGUGAAUGGGCAUGGCUGGAUUCCAGUAAAACUUUACUUACAGAAACAAAUGGCAGGCAGGAUUGGCGGAAUUGUCCUGUGGGCCAUAGUUUGCCAGCUACUAUUUUAGGCCAGGGGGGCAGGAGGUACAAAGGCCCUGAGAUGGGAAGGAAUGAGCUAUAUUUAGGGAACUGAUUCAUGGCCAGUGUGGCUGGAGUUAUUAACCAAAGAAAGGGGUUAGCAGCUCAGAAGAAGUAUGGAGUUGAGGGCAGGCGAUAGAUAACUUACAGGCUUGUAACCCAUGUUAAGGGUUUUGUAUUUUGCCUUAGUGGGAAGUCACUGAGUAAUUUAAACACUUUUAAUUUAGCUAUAAACAUAUACAGAAAAUGUGCAUAUUAUAAGUGCAUAGUUAGUUGAAUUUCCGCAAACUGAAUAUCCACAUAAACAGCAUGCAGACCAAGAAACAGAGCAUUAUCAGAAGCCAAGAAGUAUUCACCUUGCACCCCCAGCCAGUCCACACCCCUCCAGUCAGCACCAUUUGGACCUUCUAUAACAUGUAUUUGUUUGCCUGGGUUUCUAUUUUAUGCAUAUGGAAUCAUCUGUUAUCUGGCUUCUUUCACUCAAAGUAAUGUCUGUGAAAUCUGUCUAUAGUAGUUGUAGAUCGUCCAUUCUCACCAUGUGAAUACACAAUUGGGUUGUGGAUGAGCAUUUGGGAUGUUUUUAGUUGUGGGCUGUUAUGAAUUGUGCUGCUCUGAAUAUUUAUGACCAUGUCUUGAUAAAUAUGCAUUUCUGUUGGAUGAACAUGCUUAAUGGUUUAAUUGCAGGGUCACAGGAUGGUUGUAUGUACAGCUUUAGCAGAUAUUAUAGAAUCAUUUUCCAAAAUGAUGAUACCAUUUUACAUUCUCACAAACAAGGCAUGAGAGUUCCAAUCUCUUCUCAUACUCACCUCCACUUGAUGUUUUGCACCGAAUAUUUUUUAGCUAUUCUGGUUGUUUUGUAGAGAUAUAUCACUGUGGUUUUAAUUUUCAUUUUCCUAAUAAGUGAACAGGGAGCAUAUUUUCAAAAUUUUAUUGGCCAUUGUAGACUUUUCCAAGAGCAUGAAAUGAUCAUAUUUGCAUUCUAAGUAAUCCUCUCUGGCUUUUGGUGUGGAAUAUCUAUCUGUGGGUACAGCAGGAAUCCAAACAGGGAUUUAUUUGAGUUAGGAGAUCAUGGCAAUAUUGAGGCCGAAUGUGAGAAUAGCUUGGACUAGGGCAGUGGUAGUUGAGUUGGAAAGAUGUGGAUGAAUUUGAAGGCCAUUUCUGAGGUAAAAUUGAAAGGACCUGGUGGUGGAUUAGAUGCAGGAACUGAGAGACAGGAAGGUAUACAAAUUGUGGCUGUAAGAUUUCUGGUUAACGCAUCAUUUCUUUCUGAGUUUUAGGUUUGAAAUCAUUGCAUAUAUUUUCUUUAGGAUUUUUUGGUUACUUUCAAAAGACUGGAGAAGAAAAUUUCAAUGGAAAAAAGGAACACAUCUAAUAUGAUGUAAAGAUAACCAAAUUUCAUCUGAUGACAUUUGGUUGGAAUUUAACCAGUAUUGUUCAUCUGAGGGCUGAAGAUGUGUCUCUUGAAGUCUCAAAUUCCCACUCAACUUCUCAUAACCAUUAGGACUGAUUUAGCUGAAUAAUCUUGGGUAAGUGACUUAACCACUUGGAGUGUCUGAUUUUUUAAAAACAUGUAAAAUGGUGAUAAUAACAUCCCUGCCUUCCACGCUUGUUUUGAGGAUGAAAUGAGCUAAGAUCUGAGAACUUGCUCUGUGGAGGACUCCUUGAAUGAGAAUCAUGACUGAGGCUGGCUUUACCUUCAGAUCAUUAUGAACUGACUAUGAAAUUUGGUAAAUUAUGUGAAAACUCUUUAGCCUUAAAUGAAAUUUCUUGCUCCCAUGCUUUGCAUUCUAGUGCCAUUGUUUUAGGUUCCAGGCAUCACAUUUAGAAAUUUAUCUGUAGCCUUUAAGUCAGUAACCUAGGUAUGAACUUUAAUCUGAUUCACUUAUUUUUCUCUGCAUUUAGAUAGGAAAUUCUACUGCUGCUGGUAAAGAGUAGGCUCACAAAUAAAAUCUCUGGUUUCUUGUGAACAGUUUCCUUAAGUCUAGGCUCACAACAAAAUAAGAAGGAGCCAGGUAAGCAGUAUUUUCAUAUACAACAACAACAACAACAACAACAAAAGGAUAUAUACUUUGAUUAAAAAAAAAA